rnacentral:rRNA from 1 species
UACGUAGGGUGCAAGCGUUGUCCGGAAUUAUUGGGCGUAAAGAGCUCGUAGGCGGUUCGUCGCGUCGGCUGUGAAAUCCCGAGGCUCAACCUCGGGUCUGCAGUCGAUACGGGCGGACUGGAGUUCGGCAGGGGAGACUGGAAUUCCUGGUGUAGCGGUGAAAUGCGCAGAUAUCAGGAGGAACACCGGUGGCGAAGGCGGGUCUCUGGGCCGAUACUGACGCUGAGGUACGAAAGCGUGGGGAGCAAACAGG